ACCCGCACAAGCGGUGAUGAUGUGGUUUAAUUCGAUGCAACGCGAAAACCUUACCCACCUUUGACAUGUACGGAAUCCUUUAGAGAUAGAGGAGUGCUCGAAAGAGAGCCGUAACACAGGUGCUGCAUGGCUGUCGUCAGCUCGUGUCGUGAGAUGUUGGGUUAAGUCCCGCAACGAGCGCAACCCUUGUCAUUAGUUGCUACGAAAGGGCACUCUAAUGAGACUGCCGGUGACAAACCGGAGGAAGGUGGGGAUGACGUCAAGUCCUCAUGGCCCUUAUAGGUGGGGCUACACACGUCAUACAAUGGCUGGUACAAAGGGUUGCCAACCCGCGAGGGGGAGCCAAUCCCAUAAAGCCAGUCGUAGUCCGGAUCGUAGUCUGCAAUUCGCCUGCAUGAAGUCGGAAUCGCUAGUAAUCGCAGGUCAGCAUACUGCGGUGAAUACGUUCCCGGGCCUU
rnacentral:rRNA from 1 species